rnacentral:lncRNA from 1 species
GCCAAAUUUGUUUAUGUAUUUGUCUUAAUUAAUCUAAAUUGUGUUUUCCACAUACUUUUGCGUUAGCAGUCCAUCAGGCCAAUAGAUGGCGCUGUUGCACUGUUGUAGCAGGAGAAACAGCAAGUUCUGGCCAAGCGCUCACCAUUCUGCAGAAUAAGGAUCAGAACUUUACUGAGGUAAACUGGGUCUGUUCUUUUUACUUUUGCAGCAGUUCAUCGUGGCCCUGUCGUUCGCCUACUUCACCAAAGCUCUGUCAGGGACCUACAUGAAGAGUGCCAUCACUCAGAGAGACACUUUGACCUGUCCGGCUCUCUCAUCGGACUCAUAGACGGCAGCUUUGAGAUGGGUAUCAACAAUAACAAUGAGUUGCUUGAGAAUUCAUGUAGUAAAAACUAGAUACACAAUACAGUAUGAUCCGUUUUUUUUGUGGUUCAGAGUCUGCUCUCAAUACUGUCCAGUUUUAUAGUUGUUCCUAUUAAUUGAUUGACUGGCGUUUGUCCAUGACUCUACUGUCAAACCCCUAACAUUGUUUUAUGUGCUGCUAUGUUGUUGCAGCCUAGUAUCCAAACUGAUAUGCCAUUUUUUGUUUAAAAAAAAAAAAAAUGCGCAUGGGUGCAGUUUCUUGUCCUCCUCGUUCCGCUGUGAAAGUACCGCACCAGCUCCGGUUUCCGAGGCGUCCACCUCUACCACAAAGGGACGAGUAGGAUCAGGAUGAACGAGGAAUGGGUUCGGAGGUGAAACGUCCCUUGAGCUCUAUGAAUGCCCUGUCAGCCUCGGGAUUCCAGCAAAAAACAGCUUGAGUGAGGUGGGACAGGGCCUUAUGUGUUCCGGAAGGGUUUUUGGAGAAGAUCAGGAUAUCGUCGAGGUAAACAAAGACGAACCGAUUCAACAUAUCCCUAAGAGUGUCAUUGAUCAAUGCUUGAAAGACUGCCGAUUUUAAGCGUUGCGGAGGUCCAGUUUGGUGAAGAAUUGGGCUCCUAGGGCCAACUCCAAGGCGGCGGACAUCGGGUUUGUUGAACAUGAGUGGAAAUGAAACUCCAGCACACUGGUAGCACUAAAGACGUUUGAGUAUAACUUCUCCAGGUGAGUUGAAGCUGCCUGUGCGUGCGGCGGGGAUAUUCCUGGGAGGUCUACUGACGAAGAGGUAUAAGCUUGGCGUUAUGUCUGGAGCCCAGCUGUCUUUCGUCACCUCCUUCAUGGCCUACCUCCUCCUCCCUCUGCAGUCUGGCACUAAGUGUGACAACGUUAAGGUGGCUUGUCUGACCGUGUCCCACAACGGGUCCCCUGGUGUACGAUGGCAGCCUGUUGUCAGAGUGUAACAGAGACUGCUCCUGCUUGGCUGGGGAGUGGGACCCUGUGUGUUCAGACAACGGCAUCACCUACACCUCCCCCUGCCUCGCAGGCUGCUCCAGCUUUACAGGUUACGGCAAGAACACGAUACCAAUUCUAUUAAUGUACUGAGUGUACAAAACAUUCACACGGAUGCUGGGCCAUGUUGACUCCAAUGCUUCCCACAGUUGUGUCAAGUUGGCUGUAUGUCUUUUGAGUGGUGGACCAUUCUUGAUACACACGGGAAACUGUUCAGCAUAAAAAAACACAGCAGCGUUGCAGUUCUUGACACAAACUGGUACCCCUGGCACCUAUUACCAUGCCCCGUUGAAAGGCACGUAAAUAUUUUGUCUUGACUCCCUGUUUAAAUAAAAUGUUUUUUUAAAUUUUUUUUUUACAUUUUAGUCAUUUAGCAGACGCUCUUAUCCAGAGCGACUUACAGUAGUGAAUGCAUACAUUUCAUACUUUUUUUUCCUGUGCUGGCCCCCUUGGGAAUCGAACCCACAACCCUGGCGUUGCAAACACCAUGCUCUACCAACUGUAAAAAACAUCAACAAACACAGGAUAUGGGGUACACAUGGUAUCACAUCAUUACAUACUAGGCCCUACUGCACCUGCAUUCCAGCAUCUGGAAUUGACUCAACAUGUUUGGGGUGGGGGAUCAAUACAUGUGGGGGAAGAGGUGGCUGUCGAAUGUAUGAUUCUUGGGGGGGGUCCAUGUUGGUGUCCAUACACUGAGGUGUGUUUUAAUAUGAAUGAGCAUCAGUGUUGUGAUGUGUCCUAUCCCGUCCUUGCAGAGUGAUCUUCCUUGGACUCAUCACAUGUCUCAGUGGCUCCUCCUUAGGAGGGAGGGGGACAGCCCCCACACUCAUCACUAGAGAUCGAACUUCAGACUCCCUCCAAAACCACUGAACCCCUCAACACACCGAAAGAGAUUAAGGUGCACACCCGUAGAGGGAGCCGGAACAGGAUAACUCCCUCCAAACUCACAAAGACACAGAGGAGGAGGAACUAUCCAACACCCAGGGAGAGAGAACGAGUGACCUCAGUCGAACACAGUCAGAAAGAGGAGGUGGAAGAGGCGUUAGAUAGAGGAGGUUACCCCAGAGGCCAUUCCUCCUGUUAAUGUGACCAAGAAAGAGCAGAAGGCUUCUGAUCAGCCAAAUGGCAGGCAGAGGGAGAGGUCAUAGUGAUUCACACCCACAGAGAGAAAGACAACCCACACAACCUCUUAGUUGAGAUGAACCACACAGAGGUAGAGGCAGAGGGCCUUCAGGGCUAGCCAGUCAGCCUGCCUGCUCUGAUCCUCAAGUCAAUUGUAUUUAAAUUCAUGUUCAUUAAAGUUUUUUUAUUCAAGAAUUGAAAAGUCCCAUUUACUUAAUGAUCAUUUUUCACCAGCUUCAACCCUCAAGAAUCAGGGUAAAGGGACUUUCAAGGGACUUUAAGGAUUCAAGAACCUCUUCGGGACAAGCUGCCAACGAACUCUCACGGCGUGACGUGGAUGCAUCGGAGAAAAAGACGUGCAAGGCAAUAAACGCCCGUUUCAAGGAACCAACCUGUGUCUGUUGUGAAGAGAGCUACAGUGAGAACUGGCCUGCUCAACACGGGUAGGAGAGACAACAAGACCGCCGCGGGUAACGACGCAACGAAGAUCCAGCAGAUCAGAUAAGCAAAGCCCAUGACAUUGUCGGCUUAGGAGAGCCAGAGGAGAGCCAACAAUAUAACUAGCUAACUAGUCAUAGCCAGCUACCUUAAGAGCUGGAAAAGGAUUAUCCACUUAAAGGCUGACAUCAAUAAAUCAACAAUCAAAUAAUGUUCUUACCCGUGACAUCUGCUAGCAUGACAGAGUUUCCCAACUCUGAGUUAUUUAAAUUCUCUUUGCUAGUAUCAUCAUUGUGUCUGUGAGCUGGUUACACCCAAAAGGAAGAAGAAAAUCAUGUAAAGUAACUUGGCACGGACUUACGUGCAGAAUAAUACGUUUUGUGACAGGCUGGUUUUAGUGACAUGCGACUAGGCUAUGGGACUGUAGCUGGAUGUAUCUCAAGAAUCGGGACAUAGCAGCAAUGUAGGGUUCUGGCUAUCAUGGUUGGAGAAAAUAGCUGUUGUACAUAACUCUGAAGAUGUGAAAAAAAAAGAGGAGAAAAAAGGACAUAUGGCGCCGGAGGGGAUAGCUGCCAUUACACGGCUCCUAACCAAAUGUGCUAUUUUUUUCCCGCAUUAUUUGUAACUCAUUUUGUGCAUAAUGUUGCUGCUACCGUCUCGUAACCGAAAAGAGCUUCCGGACAUCAUAACAGAUUACUCACCUCAAACUGGACAAAGGUUUUUUUCUUUAAUGAAUCCGACGUGAAGGAUAUACUGCUUUGUCGAGACAAGGCCCAAAUCCCUGUCAUCCGAGUGAAGAAAAGACAGAGAAAAAUGGGGAGGAGGGUGAGGUGCCUUGUAGGAAUUCGCAGAUGAGUAGGUAAACCACCAAUACCCUCUGUGUUAUUGGCCAACAUGCAAUCAUUGGAAAACAAACUGGACGAUCUACGAUUAAGAAUAUACUACCAGGCCUCCCGGGUGGUGCAGUGGUCUAAGGCACUGCAUCGCAGUGCUAGCUGUGCCACUAGAGAUUCUGGGUUUGAGUCCAGGCUCUGUCGCAGCCGGCUGCGACUGGGAGGCCCAUGAGGCGGCGCACAAUUGGCCCAGCAUCGUCCGGGUUAGGGAGGGUUUGGCUGGCAGGGACAUCCUUGUCUCAUCGCGCACUAGUGUCUCCUGUGGCGGGCCGGGCGCAGUGCACACUGACACGGUCGCCAGGUGUACGGUGUUUCCUCCGACACAUUGGUGCGGCUGACUUCUGGGUUGGAUGGACAUUGUGUCAAGAACCAGUGCAGCUUGGUUGUGUUGUGUUUCGGAGGACGCAUGGCUCUCGACCUUCGCCUCUCCCGAGUCCGUAUGGGAGUUGCAGCGAUGAGACGACUGUAACUACUACCAAUUGGAUACCACGAAAUUGGGGAGAAAAAAGGGGUGAAAAAUACAACAAAAAUGUUUUAUAAAAAAAGAA